CUACAGUCUCCAUGUGACUCGUGGACUUCCCUUUGUCAUCCUAUGCCUGAGAAUAUAUGAAGGGGGCUGGGAAGGCAAAGGGACGUUCAAUCGUCAUCACUGGC
rnacentral:pre_miRNA from 15 species